CGACGCGUCUUACCUUUAGUGAUUCCCCGUUCGCAACGAGGAGGCCGGGGGUUCGAAUCCCCUCUCGUCCACCA
rnacentral:tRNA from 1 species